CUACCUCUGUCAUGGCCUGCAGCAAACAUUUCUUUUCUUUCAAAGACUUGAUACAAGUCAAAAGAUUUAACACUAGUCAAAGGGAGUAGAGGAGUAGGAAAUUAGAAACCCUCAGAAAAAGCCAGACACAAUUGUCAUGAAAACCUUUCUCCAAAAUAGUAUAGGUUAAAUUUACAAUUGCUUUUGGUCUCCACCCCUGCCCCAGGAAACUCAAAGAAGCCUUCAGGCCAAGGAUAGAAGAUCUGCUCUACAUGGAACACAAUAUUUUAAUGUUUAAAAAUAUGUUUUCUGUGAAUAAUAAAUCCUGGCUAAAACAGCUUUCCCAGCUGGCGUGUAAAUUACAAUGUUGUGUCGUCGGUGCUAGAUAUCAGCAGAGUGCUGCUGUCUGCAGUCAACUCACCUAGUUUCGCCAAUGUAUACUGGCUCAAGAACAGCCUGUCAAGUCGCAGCAUAUUUCAAACUCUUGCUU